UACGUAGGUGACCAGCGUUGUCCGGAUUUACUGGGCGUAAAGAGCGCGCAGGCGGUCGUUCAAGUCGAGGGUGAAAGCCCCCGGCUCAACUGGGGAGGGUCACUCGAUACUGAUCGACUUGAAGGCAGGAGAGGGAAGCGGAAUUCCCGGUGUAGUGGUGAAAUGCGUAGAUAUCGGGAGGAACACCAGUGGCGAAGGCGGCUUCCUGGCCUGUUCUUGACGCUGAGGCGCGAAAGCUAGGGGAGCAAACGGG
rnacentral:rRNA from 1 species